CUUCGAUAAUCAUGUUUAGUUUGCUACAGCUGGCAGGGAUCUCUGAACUGAGAGUUUCAUUCUGAGUAUUGAGGCUGAGUACCUGCAUGUGCUGGAAAUCCUUGGCCCAGCAACGUGCGAUUGCUCAGAGACAGAAAAACGUCAGGCCCACAAGCUUCCCCUUUCAUUUUAACACACUACCUUGGUUUUGUGUCAAUAGGAGUCUCCAGCCACGUGCUCUUGUAUGUGUUGUUUUAGUACACUGACUUGAAUCACUUAAAUAUUCUUGCUGUGAGCAGCUUCUCAUGUAAAAACAUGUAAACUUGCAAGGAGUUUUUCCCUAGGGUGAUGAUAACCCCUGAGAAAUCUGUAGUUAGUAAAAGAAGCAAACAGUUCAUGUAAACUCAACAGCCUAAAUCAUGGAGGCAAGAGGUUUUAAUUAAGGUGGCUCUGUGAGGAUGCAGGUGGUGAACAGCUGUCAGCAAUAUGGAGCCUUGCUCUGCAAUGGCUCGCUGCGCAUUGCUGGGUUUUCAUGGCAGGUGCCGUUGGUUUGCUGCUGAAGCAGACACUGAUAAAUAGUUGGCGUGACGUGAGAUCUGGUUGCUUUCUAUUCUUCCUUUCAACCAAAAGGAUGCAAAAUCCACUACUUUUAAUGGAAACUUCAUUACUUGAGCAUGACAUAGCUGGAGAUUAGCAAAACAGAAGCGUGCAACCAAGUAGGCACUCAUGGCAGCACCAUUCACAGCUCAAGAGGCAUGCAGUGAUGAGAAUUGAAUUAACUCAAGACGAGCCAUCUGAAUGCCAAAACAAAAACUUGCCAGAACAAAACAAAAAACUCCUGGUGGGUCUGCUGAGCCUGGGUGGUGCCCACGACCUGGCUGACAGACCUGGCUCCUGGAGCACCGGGAAGCACCAGCCCUUGCCUGCCUAUCCUGUGCUCUGUGCUGCUGCUCACCACGGAAGAGCCAAGUCCUCGGUCUGUACGAGCAGGUAUCAGUAUCCUAAGACCUGCAACAUAUUUAAACAGAAGUUAACAUAA
rnacentral:lncRNA from 1 species